UUCAAACUAAUGGAAUGGAGUUACGAACAAAUUUUUAAAAUAACCCCUUCUCUUUGAUUUUCCACUUGAAUAUGAAUAUCUAGAGUCACUAAGGCACUCUUCACCUCCAAGUGAUCCAUAGAAGGACUUCUAAAUGGAAAUCUUAAAGACCACUCAAAAUCUGUGCAAUAAAACUCAUGGAAAGUAGAAAACAAUACAAC
rnacentral:lncRNA from 1 species